UGUUUUUAUUGAAAGGACAUAUAUAUACAAUCCCUCCUCCGUGACACCUGCAUGCCUAUUGUUAGUGUGUUUUUGUUGUUUCCCCCCCUUGCCUUCUCUCUUUCUCCCUCUCCCUGCUCACCCGGCCAUGAUCUGCAAUCAACACUCCUGCCCGUCACCUGCAAUCAACACUCCUGUCUGCCAAUCAAGCCUGCUCCUCUUCCCUACUAAAACCCUGCUCCGACAGCCGGUCUCCACCGGAUUGUUGUGCCAUCCGUGGAAAACCUGCCUGCCUUCCCUGUUUGUCAAGCCCGCCAGCCAGCUCUCAUUUCUGGACUGCCUCUGCCAAGCUUUCUCCCCUGGAUCCUGUUUCCCUCACCUCAGCCAGCCUCCAUCUCACCUUACUGAUCUCCUGUGUGGUCGUGGUAGCCAAGAUGGCUCUGUUGCUUCCCUGGCUGAGCUGCAGACUCAUGGAGAGGCCCGUCACCAGCUGGACGCCCAACUCUGUGAUGGUCACUUUGUCGUCCACCACUGUGACGGUCUUCUCUGCCAGGAUCGAGUCUGACAAUGGAGACAACACCUAGGAGGAGCAAAAGUGACAUUUCAGAUUACGUCUGUGACAUUAAAGGAAUUUUAAAAGGAAAAGAUGAAGAAUUAGAUUUUCUUCCACAACAUUCCCCUCGAAUACGUGAUUAUCGAGCAAUAACCUGUGACAUUCUGGUGUGAUCAAUUACGGCUGUGCUACUCCACAAUAGCGACUCAACCUAUUGUAUACCCUGUUCAUGAAAGCUUUUUCAUUUCCUGCUCUAAACACCCAGGGUUGGGGAGGUCUUUCCCAGGAGAAAUCAGCAGCGACAGCAACAGAGAAAAAGAGCACUACCUAAACUAAACUUCAUCAACAGAAAAUCCAAGCAGGAAUAAGUCAACGCUGGUCACGCCGCUUGAUUGACAAGGGAUUCCUGGCAGGUGGAACGCAAACACAUCCCAUCAAUGAGCACUUAGCAGUAAGAAUGUCGCGGACACGAAAAAAAAGCGGAUUACCACGAGUUAUAGGCUGUGUGGAUCAAACAACAACUGGACUUGGCUGCCAUCCAACCCCAACACCUCCUGUAGCUAAAACGUGGCCUACCUGGAUCGUGGUCAUCCCCAUGUCCAGUCCCACCAGUAUCCUCCUGUCCAGUAGCUGUGCAAUCUGGGGGUCCUCUACCUUCAGGAAGUCCCACACCAGCUCCGUGAUGUCCACUU